rnacentral:tRNA from 1 species
AUUUAUAUAAUAUAACAAUUAUAUUUGACUUCCAAUCAAAAAAUUUAGAAUCCUCUAAUAUAAAUA